GACGUAGGGUCCGAGCGUUGUCCGGAAUUAUUGGGCGUAAAGAGCUCGUAGGCGGUUUGUCGCGUCUGCUGUGAAAUCCCGAGGCUCAACCUCGGGUCUGCAGUGGGUACGGGCAGACUGGAGUGCGGUAGGGGAGAAUGGAAUUCCUGGUGUAGCGGUGGAAUGCGCAGAUAUCAGGAGGAACACCGAUGGCGAAGGCAGUUCUCUGGGCUGUAACUGACGCUGAGGAGCGAAAGCCAGGGGAGCGAACGGG
rnacentral:rRNA from 1 species